UACGUAGGGCGCAAGCGUUGUCCGGAAUUAUUGGGCGUAAAGAGCUCGUAGGUGGCUUGUCACGUCGGGUGUGAAAGCUUGGGGCUUAACUCCAGGUCUGCAUUCGAUACGGGCUGGCUAGAGGUAGGUAGGGGAGAACGGAAUUCCUGGUGUAGCGGUGAAAUGCGCAGAUAUCAGGAGGAACACCGGUGGCGAAGGCGGGUCUCUGGGCAGUAACUGACGCUGAGGAGCGAAAGCGUGGGGAGCGAACAGG
rnacentral:rRNA from 1 species